rnacentral:rRNA from 1 species
CGCCCGCCGCGCGCGGCGGGCGGGGCGGGGGCACGGGGGGCCUACGGGAGGCAGCAGUGGGGAAUUUUGGACAAUGGGGGUAACCCUGAUCCAGCCAUUCCGCGUGUGCGAUGAAGGCCUUCGGGUUGAAAAGUACUUUUGGCAGGGAAGAAAAGGCGCUGGAUAAUACCUUGCGUCACUGACGGUACC